ensembl:snRNA U6 U6 spliceosomal RNA
AUGCUCUCUUUGGCAACACAAAUACUAAAAGUGGAAUGACUCACCGAAGAUUAACAUGUCCCCUGUGUAAAGAUGACACGUGGAGUAAUGAGCAAGUCCAUGUUUUU